rnacentral:lncRNA from 1 species
CACCAUACUAUAUCCCUCUUUGGAAGCACCUAUUUUCUAAGAAAAUCUUGAGGAAUUUUUUGGAGGCAUUACGUCUUUUUUGUUUUGAAACUUUUGGAUUGUAAGGAAAACCAGCUGCAGAGCUAGCCAGAGGCCCCAGCUCUGCUCCAUCAGCAGAAGGACAGCUGUCUUUGAGGGCGGGACGAGGACCCCCACCUCGCAGGGGUCAUGGCAGACUGCUUUGUGACAAGGCCGUUGGGGGACAAAUGGACCUGACGUUCUCCAGAAACCAGGCUUCAGUCUUUGAGCUGCACUCCUCUUCCUUCAAAAUCGUGGCAAGGAGACGCCUAUUCCCCCGGUGUACUCAUGGACCAGCGAGAGCCACUGACAGAUGCAUCACUGGAUCCUAACUAAACACUUUGUUCCAUCUCCCUGUGACCAGAGUAUUGUACCACAAUCCCAGUUGUUUGCAAUAAAUGGCUUGUCUUGAUUUUCCAGAUUAUAGCUAGAAGAUUGCCUCAAACGAUGAAUUGUAGAAUGGAGCAGGAUGUCUGUGUGUCUGCGUCUUCACCCGGGUUUUUCAGGCCUGUGCACGGGGCUCUGUGCGUGUUUGUGCACACAGGGGGUCUCUGUGUGUGUAUGCACAGGGUGUGUAUGUGGGUGACUGUGUGUGUACACGAGUGUGUGUGCCCAGCUGUGUCUGUGAACUUAGCUCUAUGAAAGCAAGAAGCCUAUGAGAAUUCCGCCAGGGGCAAGCCUGGCCUUGGCGCUUCACUG